AACGCUGGCGCGCGCGCCUAACACAUGCAAGUCGAGCGAGAAGCCCGGGGCUUGCUCCGGGUGCACAGCGGCGAACGGGUGAGGAACACGUGAGCAACCUGCCCCGAAGACCGGGAUAACACCGGGAAACCGGUGCUAAUACCGGAUGUCUUCACCGGAUCGCAUGAUCCGGUGAGGAAAAGGGUUUCCGCUUCGGGAUGUGCUCGCGGCCUAUCACCUUGUUGGUGGGGUAACGGCCUACCAAGGCUUCGACGGGUAGCUGGGCUGAGAGGAUGUCCAGCCACACUGGGACUGAGACACGGCCCAGACUCCUACGGGAGGCAGCAGUGGGGAAUCUUGCGCAAUGGACGAAAGUCUGACGCAGCGACGCCGCGUGCGGGACGACGGCCCUCGGGUUGUAAACCGCUUUCAGCAGGGACGAAAUUGACGGUACCUGCAGAAGAAGCCCCGGCCAACUUCGUGCCAGCACCCGCGCUAAUACGUAGGGCGCAAGCGUUGUCCGGAUUUAUUGGGCGUAAAGAGCUCGCAGGCGGUAUGGCAAGUCCGGUGUGAAAUCUCCACGCUCAACGUGGAGCGUUCAUUCUAGACUGCCAUGACUAGAGUGGCGGCAGGGGAGUGUGGAAUUCCCGGGUGUAGCGGUGGAAAUGCGCAGAGAUCGGGAGGAACACCCGUAGCGAAGGCGGCACUCUGGGCCGGUACUGACGCUGAGGAGCGAAAGCGUGGGGAGCAAACAGGAUUAGAUACCCCUGGUAGUUCACGCUGUAAACGUUGGGCACUAGGUGUGGGGCUCUAUUGACGGGUUCCGUGCCGACGCUAACGCAUUAAGUGCCCCGCGUGGGGAGUACGGCCGCAAGGCUAAAACUCAAAGGAAUUGACGGGGGCCCGCACAAGCGGCGGAGCAUGUGGCUCAAUUCGAUGCAACGCGAAGAACCUUACCUGGGUUGAACUACGCGGGAAAAGCCAUGGAAGCAUGGUGUCCUUUUGGGUCCGCGAUAGGUGGUGCAUGGCUGUCGUCAGCUCGUGUCGUGAGAUGUUGGGUUAAGUCCCGCAACGAGCGCAACCCUUGUCCUAUGUUGCCAGCGGGUAAUGCCGGGGACUCGUAGGAGACUGCCGGUGCCAAACCGGAGGAAGGUGGGGAUGACGUCAAGUCCCCAUGCCCCUUACGUCCAGGGCUGCACACAUGCUACAAUGGCCGGCACAAAGGGCUGCAAGUCCGCGAGGAUGAGCCAAUCCCAAAAAACCGGUCUCAGUUCGGAUCGCAGUCUGCAACUCGACUGCGUGAAGCCGGAGUCGCUAGUAGUCGCAGAUCAGCAAUGCUGCGGUGAAUACGUUCCCGGGCCUUGUACACACCGCCCGUCACACCACGAAAGUUGGUAACACCCGAAGCCGGUUGCCCCGACCCUUUUCAGGGAGGGAGAAGUGGAAGGUGGGAUCAGCGAUUGGGGUGAAGUCGU
rnacentral:rRNA from 1 species